rnacentral:lncRNA from 1 species
CUGGGGGGAAUGCUCGUCUAUCUCCCAGAGGGAAAUUGCAACUAAACCUACAAGCUGCAAAUCCAACUCCCCUGUCAAAUGAAGCCGUGGCAGUUGGCAAAAAUGACGAGAGUUUUGAAGGUGAGAGCAAAUUUAGUGUUGAUUUUUUCCUUACAAAAUCAUUACCGUUUCUUAGUGCUGGAUUGGAGUCAGUUGGAUGUGCUUGAUACUCAUGGUUGCAUUCCAAAACAGCAAGCAAUUGUUAUGGAAAUAAUAGGUUUACUAAGCUUACUAGUGGAACUAGAGGAAGUCCUUUUAAGAUGCUUACUAAGCUUGCUCUGAUAACUUCUCUUGUGUGUAUUUCCCUUGUGUCUCAUUCAAUACUUUUUUUGGGAAAAUAGAAUGGAGGAAAACAUACGAAUUUCUACUUCAAUUGUUCUAUCAGUCUUUUCUUUGUUUAUUGUUGUUAUUGUAUUUUCUCUGUACUCAGUUGUGCCUCGCUUGGCUGCUGAGAAUCUGCUGCCUGUAAUCAAAAUCAUUGUUUUGUAAUUGGGUAAUUUAAUUCAUUUGGUAGCUUAUAGGUUUGUAUUGUAUAGUAUAAAAGGGGAAAGGAGGGACUUUUAUAUUUAACGCACUGUUGGUUGCCAAGUUAUUGCAGCAGAUGAGAAACUGAAUUCUGAUUGAAGAAGGUAGUAGCAUCAACUGACCAUGGAAACCUGAUAUUGAAUCACCUUAUUUUGUGUCUUUCAUAACGCCCCCUGUUAUUUUGUGCUUUCUCUCCCUUUCUGGUAAUUGAAUUCGUAAUUUUGUCUCUUUUAAUGUAAUGAAAUUACUUCGUAAAUUAAUGUCUGAUUAAGAAUCAAUGCUUGCAUAAUAACAUUUGAUUAUUAUAAUUUAUUUAUAUUUAGAUUAAUUAAUUAUCAUUUCCAUGUUGUUUUUGCUAAUAGAAUGUAUUGAAUGAUGCCUGUAAUCAUGAAGCUUUUUAUGGUAAAUUAUUCUAUUGUUGCUUAUGCUUAUUUACACUACAUCAAGAAAUUAAUAAACUGAUGUUAUGCUGAAGUUUCUGCAGACUGUUCGGGUGGAAGCGCUGGGGAGAAUACUCGUCUAUCUCAAGAAAAUCCAACUCCCCUGUCAAAUACAAAUCCAACUCCCCUGUCAAAUGAAGCCGGGGCAGUUGCCAAGACUGAUGAGAGUUUUGGAGGUGAGAGCAAAUUUAGUAUUGAUUUUUUUUUCCUUACAAAAUCAUUACCGUUUCUUAGUGCUGGAGUGGAGUCAGUUGGAUGUGCUUGAUACUCAUGGUUGCAUUCCAAAACGGCAACCAUUUGUUAUGGAAACAAUAGGUUUUCCUCUCUAAAUUGACAGGCAUGAAAACAGGUUAUAUACACAGCAUCUAGAAUUUUUUUUGCUAAAUCAGUUGUCUCUAUGGCGUCAAAAGAUUAACCAACCUCCUUUAAAAUUUUUUUUGUUCGUAUUCAGCUUUUGAGAAAAAUGAAAGGAACUAAAUACUAACCAUAACCACAUGGCUGAGCUGCCAUAUAUAACAGAGUUUAUGAAAAUUCUUGAUUGUUGAAGAUGGGUUAGAUCGCGAAUCUUGCUUUCCAGCCAUACUUGUGGUGAAUGGACUCUUCCCCAUGCCCAAAUCUCAACAAAUGGAACUAGAGGAAGUCCUUUUAAGAUGCUACUAAGCUUGCUCUGAUAACUUCUAUCCUGUCUAUUUCCCUUGUGUCUCAUUCAAUACUUUUUUUGGGAAUAUAGAAUGGAGGAAAACAUACGAAUUUCUACUUCAAUUGUUCUAUCAGUCUUUUCUUUGUUUAUUGUUGUUAUUGUAUUUUCUCUGUACUCAGUUGUGCCUCGCUUGGCUGCUGAGAAUCUGCUGCCUGUAAUCAAAAUCAUUGUUUUGUAAUUGGGUAAUUUAAUUCAUUUGGUAGCUUAUAGGUUUGUAUUGUAUAGUAUAAAAGGGGAAAGGAGGGACUUUUAUAUUUAACGCACUGUUGGUUGCCAAGUUAUUGCAGCAAAUGAGAAACUGAAUUCUGAUUGAAGAAGGUAGUAGCAUCAACUGACCAUGGAAACCUGAUAUUGAAUCACCUUAUUUUGUGUCUUCAAUAACGCCCCUGUUUAUUUUGUGCUUUCUUGACAAGUCAUUAUUUGACACAUGCAUCUGAUUUUUCUCCUGGCUUACAGGUAUGCUGCACUUGUUUAAGAAUGAAUGCUUGCAAAAUAACAUAUGAUUAUUAUAAUUUAUUUAUAUUUGGAUUAAUUAAUUAUCAUUUUCAUGUUCUUUUUGUUAAUAGAAUGUAUUGAAUGAUUGAUUGAUGCCUGUAAUCAUGAAGCUUUUUGUGAUAAAUCAUUAUAGUGUUGCCUAUGCUUAUUUACACUGCAUCAAGAAAUAAGAAACUGAUGUUAUGCUGAAGUUUCUGCAGGCUGUUCGAGUGGAAGCGCUGGGGGGGAUGCUCGUCUAUCUCCCAGAGGGAAAUUGAAACUAAACCUACAAGCUGCAAAUCCAACUCCCCUGUCAAAUGAAGCCGUGGCAGUUGGCAAAAAUGACGAGAGUUUUGAAGGUGAGAGCAAAUUUAGUAUUGAUUUUUUCCUUACAAAAUCAUUACCGUUUCUUAGUGAAGUCACUAAACUGGGACAAGAUCACAGCCCUCUCUUUUUUUGCCACUGUCACCAUCAACGCCACCCUCUUUUCCUCUCCUUUCCCCUCUUCUUCCUCUAAGAAAG